rnacentral:rRNA from 1 species
GCAAUGGACUGUAUCAUGCUGUUAGCGGCGGAGGAUUGAGUAACACGUGGGUAACCUGCCUGUAAGACUGGGAUAACUCCGGGAAACCGGGGCUAAUACCGGAUGCUUGUUUGAACCGCAUGGUUCAAACAUAAAAGGUGGCUUCGGCUACCACUUACAGAUGGACCCGCGGCGCAUUAGCUAGUUGGUGAGGUAAUGGCUCACCAAGGCGACGAUGCGUAGCCGACCUGAGAGGGUGAUCGGCCACACUGGGACUGAGACACGGCCCAGACUCCUACGGGAGGCAGCAGUAGGGAAUCUUCCGCAAUGGACGAAAGUCUGACGGAGCAACGCCGCGUGAGUGAUGAAGGUUUUCGGAUCGUAAAGCUCUGUUGUUAGGGAAGAACAAGUACCGUUCGAAUAGGGCGGUACCUUGACGGUACCUAACCAGAAAGCCACGGCUAACUACGUGCCAGCAGCCGCGGUAAUACGUAGGUGGCAAGCGUUGUCCGGAAUUAUUGGGCGUAAAGGGCUCGCAGGCGGUUUCUUAAGUCUGAUGUGAAAGCCCCCGGCUCAACCGGGGAGGGUCAUUGGAAACUGGGGAACUUGAGUGCAGAAGAGGAGAGUGGAAUUCCACGUGUAGCGGUGAAAUGCGUAGAGAUGUGGAGGAACACCAGUGGCGAAGGCGACUCUCUGGUCUGUAACUGACGCUGAGGAGCGAAAGCGUGGGGAGCGAACAGGAUUAGAUACCCUGGUAGUCCACGCCGUAAACGAUGAGUGCUAAGUGUUAGGGGGUUUCCGCCCCUUAGUGCUGCAGCUAACGCAUUAAGCACUCCGCCUGGGGAGUACGGUCGCAAGACUGAAACUCAAAGGAAUUGACGGGGGCCCGCACAAGCGGUGGAGCAUGUGGUUUAAUUCGAAGCAACGCGAAGAACCUUACCAGGUCUUGACAUCCUCUGACAAUCCUAGAGAUAGGACGUCCCCUUCGGGGGCAGAGUGACAGGUGGUGCAUGGUUGUCGUCAGCUCGUGUCGUGAGAUGUUGGGUUAAGUCCCGCAACGAGCGCAACCCUUGAUCUUAGUUGCCAGCAUUCAGUUGGGCACUCUAAGGUGACUGCCGGUGACAAACCGGAGGAAGGUGGGGAUGACGUCAAAUCAUCAUGCCCCUUAUGACCUGGGCUACACACGUGCUACAAUGGACAGAACAAAGGGCAGCGAAACCGCGAGGUUAAGCCAAUCCCACAAAUCUGUUCUCAGUUCGGAUCGCAGUCUGCAACUCGACUGCGUGAAGCUGGAAUCGCUAGUAAUCGCGGAUCAGCAUGCCGGGUCCAAUC